UAGCGAAGCAGAGCUCUGCACACUUGAGUUCCGGUCCGGUUUCCCGCGGAGUUCCCCGCUUGGCGCUUGCUUGCGCAUCUUGGAGUACUGGUCGGGUUUCACCCCCAUCAGUUGGCGCCGUCUGUGAUUCAAAGAUACUCACGACAAAAGCUCCUCGACUUUUUCGAAAAAAGUGAUCGACUUUUUCCCAAGUCGCCAGCUAGGGAGUCUUGCGAGGAAAUCAGCCAGCAAGGGAUCAACUUUUCAGAAGAUCGACUUUUUCUUCCAAGGAAAAAA
rnacentral:lncRNA from 1 species